rnacentral:lncRNA from 1 species
CUCUUUAUUAUACUCCCUAUUAUUUCUUUCCAUGGUGACAACCUCAUUUUGGAAUAAGUUCUGUUGUGUUUGUGAAAGUUUACAUUACUUUUUUUUUUUUUCUUUUUUUUGGGGGGGGUGGUGGUGGUGGGGCAAUGGGGCUGCAGGCAUUGUCUGGGUGAGCCUCCACAAGGAAGCCCUGAAGUCCCUCCUGGCUCAAAGCAGCCCCAAAGAGAGCUGGGAGGUCUGCAAAGUCCAUGCUGGCAUUGUGGUCCGAGAUCGCUCGAAUGAGCCCCCGGCUGUCCUCCUGGCCGCCGCGGUACCUUCAAGUCUUCGAGAGAGGCCUCAGCACCUUUCCCCCCCACCAGCUGACAUCUUCCUCAACUCUACCUUGGCUCCAGCUCAGGCUAACACUAUUAGGAAGUGAAUUCCAUCCUGAUUCAACCCCUGCUGCUGCUGCUGCUGCUGCUAAGUCGCUUCAGUCGUGUCCGACUCUGUGCGACCCCAUAGACGGCAGCCCACCAGGCUCCCCCGUCCCUGGGAUUCUCCAGGUAAGAACACUGGAGUGGGUUGCCAUUUCCUUCUCCAAUGCAUGAAAGUGAAAAGUGAAAGUAAAGUCGCUCAGUCGUG